CUUAGCUCGACUCUAGCCAAGUACGCAGCUCGGGGUUUAUGAUAAUAUAUGGAAGAGUGGAAGAAAAUCACCCGCUGUGGAAGUCUGAGGAAGUGGGAGGGACUUUGCCGCGGAAUGUCUGUGCCCACGCCUGGGCUGUAGUGGUAGUCUAACUCCUCACACCCCAUCCCCCAGGCUCCUUCCAAGUCCAGACAGAGAAAGGAAUUCCUGGCUGAGUCUAAUUUAAAACAAACAAAUAAACAAUGUUUGCAGGGAGGAGAAUGAGAGGAAUGCGGGCGGGGCUCUUCCCUGCGGGAGAACCGGAGAACUGGGGCCUCGGACUGCAAGAACAGAGGUCACCACGACCCCAGCAAACUCCCACCCCAUCUCUGCAAAGAGCUGGAAAGCACUGUUAAGCCCACCCCGACCGGCCUUCCAGGGUUAUUCUGUUGUUUUAUGGCCUUUUUGCUCCGCUGGCUGCAAAUUGGGGGAGGGGAGAAAAAAAAAAAAAAAAAAAAAACACGGGAGGCGGGGUAAC
rnacentral:lncRNA from 1 species